UACGUAGGGUGCGAGCGUUGUCCGGAAUUAUUGGGCGUAAAGAGCUCGUAGGCGGCUUGUCGCGUCGGAUGUGAAAGCCCGGGGCUUAACCCCGGGUCUGCAUUCGAUACGGGCAGGCUAGAGUUCGGUAGGGGAGAUCGGAAUUCCUGGUGUAGCGGUGAAAUGCGCAGAUAUCAGGAGGAACACCGGUGGCGAAGGCGGAUCUCUGGGCCGAUACUGACGCUGAGGAGCGAAAGCGUGGGGGAGCGAACAGG
rnacentral:rRNA from 1 species